rnacentral:rRNA from 1 species
UACGGAGGGGGCAAGCGUUGUUCGGAAUUACUGGGCGUAAAGGGCGCGCAGGCGGCUGCUCAAGUCAGGCGUGAAAGGCCUGGGCUCAACCCGGGAAUUGCGCUUGAGGCUGGGCUGGCUUGAGUGCGGGAGAGGAUGGUGGAAUUCCCAGUGUAGAGGUGAAAUUCGUAGAUAUUGGGAAGAACACCGGUGGCGAAGGCGGCCAUCUGGACCGCAACUGACGCUGAGGCGCGAAAGCGUGGGGAGCAAACAGGA